GUGUCUGGAUUCUGGAAUGUCUGCUCAUGCACCUUAUUGACUGUGUACCAAACCUACAGAUAUUUCAGGACGAGAAGUAAAAAAAGAAGCAGGUUGGGCUGGUUAAGUAACCAACUAAAACAGUUAUGGGUUGAAGCAGUUUGACAAGCACUAAUUUAUCAUUUCUGCUUGUAUAGCUAAGUGUUUUUACGGAGCAAUUAAUGUGCCAAAUCUUACUAGAGUGUUUAUUAAACUUAUCCCAACCAGUCUUAUACUCUUAUUUUUGAAGAAAUGGUUUAUGAGGGUUCUCUAUGUACUACAAACAAAUCCGGGUGAUUUCCAACCCAUUUUUUGUUAAGGUUGAUAUCUCGAACACUUAUUCUCCGAAAGUUAAGGACAGCUUCUGGAAAU